rnacentral:rRNA from 1 species
AUGUGGAUGCCUAGUAUAAGAGCGGCCGCAGCGAGGAUCACCCGGCCCGCGUGGUCAGCUGUUGGGGUAACGGUGCCGAGGAGGAUGGAGGGCAUCGGCCGUAACUGCGCACCACGCUACUUCACCGACAGGAUCCGCUCCGGCAGGGUGCUCAGCGAGGAGGAGCGCGCCGCCGAGAACGUCUACAUACAGAAGAUGGAGAGGGAGAAGCUGGAAAAGUUGAGGAGGAAGAAGGCGGAUCAGGAAAAGGCCGACGCAGCAAAGAGCGCCAAAGGAAACAACGAGAAGGGUGAGGGAGCUCAUCCAAGCUGA